GAGGUGACUUUCGCUUAUCAUCGAGUGGGGACUCUGAAGGCUCCUCUUUGAUGCAAAGUUCAUAGAGGACCUGACCAUCUCAGAUCAAGACCAUGGAGUGUUGAUAUGGCCUCGGCUACUAUGUGAGCGGGAAUUACUGUAUGCUUUUUCUGUUUCAUAACAAAUUCUCAAAAUAAAUUAGUACUUAAUUGAUAUCAGAUGAAAACUUUCCACAGGAGGGGAUUCGUGAAAAAUAUAGAGAAAACAGAACUUAGAACAUACCUUAAUAACCAUACUGUUUGGUCUGCCAUUCUGGAUUGUUGACUUUGAAAUUGAAGAAAAUAGGGAUUUUCUCAUAUCGCCUUCCAUCGUAGCCUGAUUUGUUUUCUAUAUAUCAGAAUUCUGAAGCUUUUAGUGUUCCUUCCCAUGAUACCUAGGCACUUGCAAGUUCCAUAAACUGAAGAGAUGAGCAAGGUUUUGGGCUGCUGAUAAAGAAGACCUAGGUAGAGAACAGAGGAGAUAGAGAAACGAAAACAGAGGUAUACGCGAACCAAAAGCCAAGCCAAACUCCCUUGGAACCUCUCUUUGCUGCAGAAAUGAACUGAAUUGUAUAUUAUGAGAGAUCAAAAGAAACUGCAAGGAAGAUCAAAGAAAAAAGAGAGUAGGGGAUGAGAAGAACAAGCCAACUUUAUUGAAAUUUAUUAUUGCAGAACUGAAUCUGUGUUGUGGUGUUAAAAGGAAUUGAAGAAGCUGCUGAGAAGAAACAGAGGUUGGGAAUGAAGGGUAGACCAAGCCAAACUGAUCAAAUCAUUUCUUGUUGCAGUGUGGACCUAAUCAUUCAAGGUAUUAAAGAAAUCAAAAGUACUCUCAAGGAAGAAAGCUACGCCGACAAUGACAACAGCAAUGUACUGCAUCUGGGAACCAUGCCAUUGUAGUUCAUUUUCAUGACAGUAACCAUGGUUUGGAAGAUCUUUCAUGAGCUUGUUUGGAAUCACUGAGUUUUGACUCAGUAUUGGAAUACAAGGUUUAUUAUUUCUCUUG